CGAUUAAGUAAAAAGAAAAGGAAAGAAUAUCUUUCAAUUCCAAAUACUUCGAACAAUGAUGACGGGAUGAUUUUAAUGGUUGACGGUGAGUUUAGUCCAUUUUCCUUCCAGUUAUAGUAGCAAAUAAUGGGAAAAGAAUUACUCCAAUUAAGUUAAAAGAAAAGGAAAGAAAACCAAGAAGAUGCCUUGAGUCUAAGCAAAGCACCUUGAUUCUCGACUUAAUUCACGAAAGAUGCAAAAUGGUUGAAUAAACAGUUAGCAGAUCCAACAAUCCCACUUUGGUUUCUCCUCUCAAUGCCCUUCCAAACACAUAC
rnacentral:lncRNA from 1 species